UACGGAGGGGGCAAACGUUGCUCGGAAUCAUUGGGCGUAAAGCGCACGUAGGCGGCGCGUUAAGUCGGGUGUGAAAGCCCUGGGCUCAACCCAGGAAGUGCAUCCGAAACUGGCGCGCUUGAAUAUGGAAGAGGGUCGCGGAAUUCCCGGUGUAGAGGUGAAAUUCGUAGAUAUCGGGAGGAACACCAGUGGCGAAGGCGGCGACCUGGGCCAAUAUUGACGCUGAGGUGCGAAAGCGUGGGGAGCAAACAGG
rnacentral:rRNA from 1 species